GGAGGGUGCAAGCGUUAAUCGGAAUGACUGGGCGUAAAGCGCACGCAGGCGGUCUGUUAAGUUGGAUGUGAAAUCCCCGGGCUUAACCUGGGAACUGCAUUCAAAACUGACAGGCUAGAGUCUCGUAGAGGAGGGUAGAAUUCCCAGGUGUAGCGGUGAAAUGCGUAGAGAUCUGGAGGAAUACCGGUGGCGAAGGCGGCCCCCUGGACGAAGACUGACGCUCAGGUGCGAAAGCGUGGGGAGCAAACAGGAUUAGAUACCCUGGUAGUCCACGCUGUAAACGAUGUCGAUUUGGAGGUUGUGCCCUUGAGGCGUGGCUUCCGGAGCUAACGCGUUAAAUCGACCGCCUGGGGAGUACGGCCGCAAGGUUAAAACUCAAAUGAAUUGACGGGGGCCCGCACAAGCGGUGGAGCAUGUGGUUUAAUUCGAUGCAACGCGAAGAACCUUACCUACUCUUGACAUCCAGCGAAGACUGCAGAGAUGCGGUCGUGCCUUCGGGAACGCUGAGACAGGUGCUGCAUGGCUGUCGUCAGCUCGUGUUGUGAAAUGUUGGGUUAAGUCCCGCAACGAGCGCAACCCUUAUCCUCUGUUGCCAGCACUACGGGUGGGAACUCAGGGGAGACUGCCGGUGAUAAACCGGAGGAAGGUGGGGAUGACGUCAAGUCAUCAUGGCCCUUACGAGUAGGGCUACACACGUGCUACAAUGGCGUAUACAAAGAGAAGCGACCUCGCGAGAGCAAGCGGACCUCAUAAAGUACGUCGUAGUCCGGAUUGGAGUCUGCAACUCGACUCCAUGAAGUCGGAAUCGCUAGUAAUCGUAGAUCAGAAUGCUACGGUGAAUACGUUCCCGGGCCUUGUACACACCGCCCGUCACACCAUGGGAGUGGGUUGCAAAAGAAGUAGGUAGCUUAACCUUCGGGAGGGCGCUUACCACUUUGUGAUUCAUGACUGGGGUGAAGUCGUAACAAGGUAACCGUAGGGGAACCUGCGGCUGGAUCACCUCCUU
rnacentral:rRNA from 1 species